GUGCUCGCUUUGGCAGCACACAUACUAAAACUGGAACGAUACAGAGAAGAUUAGCAUGGUCCCUGUGCAAGAAUGACAUGCAAAUUUGUGAAGCAUUCCAUAAAAAA
rnacentral:snRNA from 1 species